GUGUCAGCAGCCGCGGUAAUACGGAGGAUCCAAGCGUUAUCCGGAAUCAUUGGGUUUAAAGGGUCCGUAGGCGGUUUUAUAAGUCAGUGGUGAAAUCCGGUAGCUCAACUAUCGAACUGCCAUUGAUACUGUAGAACUUGAAUUAUUGUGAAGUAACUAGAAUAUGUAGUGUAGCGGUGAAAUGCUUAGAUAUUACAUGGAAUACCAAUUGCGAAGGCAGGUUACUAACAAUACAUUGACGCUGAUGGACGAAAGCGUGGGGAGCGAACAGGAUUAGAAACCCUCGUAGUCC
rnacentral:rRNA from 1 species